AUUGAACGCUGGCGGCAGGCCUAACACAUGCAAGUCGAACGAGUGGCGGACGGGUCAGUAAUGUCUGGGAAACUGCCUGAUGGAGGGGGAUAACUACUGGAAACGGUAGCUAAUACCGCAUACCAUCGGAUGUGCCCAGAUGGGCUUAGCUAGUGGGUGGAGUAAAGGCUCACCUAGGCGACGAUCCCUAGCUGGUCUGAGAGGAUGACCGAGGACACUGGAAAUGAGACACGGACCAGACUCCUACGGAAGGAAGCAGUGGGGAAUAUUGCAAAAUGGACGAAAGGCUGAUGGAGCCAUGCCGCGUGUAUGAAGAAGGCCUUGGGGUUGUAAAGUACUUUCAGCGGGGAGGCGUUACCCGCAGAAGAAGCACCGGCUAACUUCGUGCCAGCAGCCGCGGUAAUAC
rnacentral:rRNA from 1 species